AUGUAGCAGGAUGGGCCUUUAAUUAGUGCUGCAGUACCGGCCUAUCACUGUUGGGUGCGCUGCCUAUAAAGGUGGGUGGUUGUGCACUGGGAGCACUCUUGCCUGGGAGCUCCUGGCUAUCCCGCCUCCUGUUGUCACCGAAACCUGAUCGCCUCACCUGAUCGCCUUUUAGCUGGAUCGUGCAGCUCGCCGUUGUUUGGGUUGACGUGUGUGUGGGCGGUUUCUGCCAGCACGUCCCCCCUCUUCACGCUGCUGUUGGCCGGCUGCCGUUUUGUCCAUUGGUUAUAUAGCCAACACAUCCAUCCUACUCUGCAUCUCCUACUGUGCUGUACCUGCCACCGAGUAUGGUGAUUGCUGCCUCAUCCUCAGUCUCAUUAUCUUAAUCCAUUCAUUUAACCGACUUCUAACUGAUCUUAUUGUUGAUAUUAUUUGUGUUUUGUGGGUUGCUUUGCAUGUUUGUUUUGGUUUAAUUCGUUUUCUUAGUUAUUUUGGUUUGGCUUAAUUGCUUUACUUAUUCAUUUGGAUUUAUCAGCUUGGAUAAAUCUCCUUUACUUUUGAUUUAAACCCCAUUUAGUUAUUUGCUCUUCCCUUUUUGUGUAUUUUUGUGUGUGUGUGUGUGUGUGUGUGUGUGUGUGUUUGCUUUAGUGUGUUUGUGUGAACAUAUUUUAUUGAGAAGUCAUGUUUAAAGAUUAUAUAUAUUAAUUAAAAGGAAUUUAAUUUGUAUGCUGGACCCAGUCUCAAGCUUUCAUUAGUGAACGAACUAUGCUUUAACUUAGGUUAAUCUAACUCUCCAGGUGAAAUUCCUGGGGUGGCGUUGUUGGCAACUUGUCACUAGUUCUUUAACUGAACUUUAUCUUUUUGUUUCCCCAACCGCCGAAUGCCACAUUUGGCGUUGUCGGCAGGAUAAUUACUUUUGGAAAGCAGAGACGUGUGGUCCAGUUUCUUUAUAUAAUUUGUUUUGUUUAUUUUAAUAGUCCCCAGGGUACAUAUUUGAUGUAGAUGUUUUGAAUUGUGUUCAGAGGCAAAACGGCAGCUUGGCCUUUCGUGGUCCGCAGAGUCCCGGUGAGAAUCCAGUUGUGGGGUUGUUGUGUCCUAGUCUGACUGUAGUGUUAGUUAUGGAUGUAGAGCUGCAGGAGUUGAGGGAGCUGGUGGCGCAGUUAAAGGUGGACAAUGAGAGGUUGCGGCAGGAGCAGGCUGUGGCCUUGCCCGGUCCUAGUUCUGAAUCCUCCACUUCUUCUGUGCCACCUGUGGCCCCUGUUACUACUAGGAACCCCAUAGCAGAGAGGCUGGUUUUUGUGCCAAGGGAUAGAAAGUGUCCUAUGUUCAGAGGAAAAUCAGGUAUGGGGUUGACUGAGUGGCUUGAGGAGGCUCAAGCCUGCAUGCGGGCGCGUCACUUAUCCACAUCUGAGCAAGCCUUUUUCUUGUUUGAUCAUCUUGAGGGUGAGGCUCGAGAGGAGAUCAAAUAUCGGUCUGUUGUGGAGAAGGAAGACUCAGCUAAAAUCAUCUCUGUGUUACAGGAACUAUAUGGGUGCUCAAAGUCUUAUGUAGCCUUACAGGAGGCGUUCUUCUCCCGACAG
ensembl:lncRNA